AACGAACGCUGGCGGCAUGCCUAGCACAUGCAAGUCGAACGAGAUCUUCGGGUCUAGUGGCGCACGGGUGCGUAACGCGUGGGAAUCUGCCCUUUGGUUCGGAAUAACAGUUGGAAACGACUGCUAAUACCGGAUGAUGACGAAAGUCCAAAGAUUUAUCGCCAGAGGAUGAGCCCGCGUAGGAUUAGCUAGUUGGUGUGGUAAAGGCGCACCAAGGCGACGAUCCUUAGCUGGUCUGAGAGGAUGAUCAGCCACACUGGGACUGAGACACGGCCCAGACUCCUACGGGAGGCAGCAGUGGGGAAUACUGGACAAUGGGCGAAAGCCUGAUCCAGCAAUGCCGCGUGAGUGAUGAAGGCCUUAGGGUUGUAAAGCUCUUUUACCCGGGAUGAUAAUGACAGUACCGGGAGAAUAAGCUCCGGCUAACUCCGUGCCAGCCGCCGCAGUAA
rnacentral:rRNA from 1 species